GUAUAUCUGGGAUGUGCGAUAACUCCCGUAUUUUGAACCUACAUUUUCUUUUACGGGAAUUCAACUAUUUGUACCAUAAUGACCAGCCUCCAUAGAGUGGACUUCAGCGUGCUACAUGAGAGUACCCACCUAGCAUGUGCUAGGACUCAAAAGGGGAGCCGGCAUCUUGGAUAUACA
rfam:Eubacterium ruminantium strain ATCC 17233 genome assembly, contig: EI46DRAFT_scaffold00010.10